AUUUAUGACUCUCUUAGGGAUCUUGUUAAACUGCAGAUUCUGAUUCACAGGACUAGGCUGGGGCCUGAGAUUCUGAAUUUCUAACAAGCUCCCAGGUGACACAGAC
rnacentral:pre_miRNA from 1 species